UACAGAGGUCCCAAGCGUUGUUCGGAAUCACUGGGCGUAAAGGGUGCGUAGGCGGGUCUUUAAGUCAGGGGGGAAAUCCUGGAGCUCAACUCCAGAACUGCCUUUGAUACUGAGGAUCUUGAGUUCGGGAGAGGUGAGUGGAACUGCGAGUGUAGAGGUGAAAUUCGUAGAUAUUCGCAAGAACACCAGUGGCGAAGGCGGCUCACUGGCCCGAUACUGACGCUGAGGCACGAAAGCGUGGGGAGCAAACAGG
rnacentral:rRNA from 1 species